CGUGAGUAACCUGCCUCUAAGAGGGAAUAACAUUCUGAAAAGAAUGCUAAUACCGCAUAACAUAUAUUUAUCGCAUGGUAGAUAUAUCAAAGAUUUAUCGCUUAGAGAUGGACUCGCGUCCGAUUAGUUAGUUGGUGAGGUAACGGCUCACCAAGACUGCGAUCGGUAGCCGGACUGAGAGGUUGAACGGCCACAUUGGGACUGAGACACGGCCCAG
rnacentral:rRNA from 1 species